AACUGAAAUAAAUUAAUCAAAGGCCCAUAUAAAUAAAUUCAGAGGCCCAAUCAGUAAUUAAAAUCGGCCCAUAUAAAUAAAAUCAGAGGCCCAAUUCAUAAUUUAGAUGUGAAGCCCAAGUCAUUAAAAAUAACAUCAAGCCCAGCUUAAAAUAAUUCGGCCCACAAUAAAUAAAAAGGAAAAGCCCAAUUUCCUUAAAAUAAACAAGCUCAAAUUCGGCCCAAACAAUAACUCAAGCCCAAAAUUAAAAAAAAUACGAGCCCAAAUAUAAAAAAAUUACGAGCCCAAUGUAAUGGCCCAACACCCAAUUCUCUUCCCCCUUUUCCUUCCAAAUUCGGCUGAGCCCCUCCUCUUUCUACCUCACGUUUCCUCCCCAUCUCUGUUCUCUUUCUUUCUCUCUGUUGGAGCCGCUCCCUUCGGUUCUCUCUCUCUUUCGAUCCGCCUCCAGCCGAGGCGGGCGUCGCCGGCGCGGCCGUGCCUGGCAGAGGGCGGCACACCUUGCCGUCUCACUCUCCUCUCUCUCUCAAGGAGCUGUUCGCCCCUUCCUCUCCAGCCUGCUC
rnacentral:lncRNA from 1 species